rnacentral:rRNA from 1 species
AGUGAACGCUGGCGGUAGGCCUAACACAUGCAAGUCGAACGGCAGCACCGUAAUAGCUUGCUCUUACGGGUGGCGAGUGGCGUACGGGUGAUGAAUACAUCGUACUCUACUUUUUCGUGUGGUGUAACGUAGGGAAACUUACGCUAAUACCGCAUACGCCCUUCGGGUGUAGGCAUGGGAUCUUCUCACCUUGCGCGAUUGAAUGCGCCGAUGUCGGAUUAGCUAGUUGGCGGGGUAAAGGCCCACCAAGGCGACGAUCCGUAGCUGGUCUGAGAGGAUGAUAGGCGACCUGAGAACUGAGACAGGGUCAAGACUACUAAGGGAGGCAGCAGUCGGGAAUAUUGGACAGAGGGGGCAAGCAUGAUCCAGAGAGACCGAGUGGGUGAAGAAGGCGUUGGGGGCGUAAAGACCGUGUGUGGGGAAAGAAAAGCAGCAGGUUGAGACCCAGCGGUUCUGACGGUACCCAAAGAAGAAGCACCGGCUAACUUCGUG